GUUGCAAAUGUUAGCUAAAGAUCGCUAGCCGCUAAUGCUAACUAAAGAUCGCUAGCAGCUAACGUUAGCUACAGAUCAUUAGUUAAUUUGCAUCACUGUCACUACCCGAUGUGAGUCGAGUGCAGAUGUGAGUUGUGCAUGCGUCACUUUGCGACAAGUAGCUUACAACAUGCUAACGAGAGACUUCUGUAAUGUCAAUACAGUAAAAAUGGACCUACGUAGCGAAGUUCGUUCACUGCUGGCUGCAAGUUAGCAAUCA